UCUCCGCUGUGCAAGGAACAGGAAGUGGUCAUGGGUAGACGGGAUCCAACUUUUGUCUUUGCUAGAAAGGAUCCAAUAUUUGUCAAAUUAACUUCAAAUUUGACUUUUCGUUUUACGCUUCGAACACACCGACUGUGUUUUACGUUUUGAUUCACCAGAAGUACAUUCAUUUCCAAUGGAACCCUGCGUUUGCCUUGCAGCAUGGAUUUAUCGAACCAAUGCAUCAAAUUGUAUGCGUGGACUUACUUGACAGAAAGCAGCAAAAUGUGAGUGUUGAAUUUUUGAUGCACACUUAUCCAGUAAACACAUGUGGGAUAACAUAUAAUAAAAACAGUUUGACUGUAUAAUUUCUUUAAAUGUUUUAUUCAUUUAUUUGCCAAGUACAUCAUUUAUUCGAUGACAUCCACAAAUUAAUUGUGAGAGCCUAUAAUAUAAUUUCCCCCAAAAUGCAGUUUUGGAGCGAAAUGCAAUAAUAAAUAGUCCACAAUGAGACCAACGUUGAGGAAGUUGGUCUUGAUCGCGCCUGUUGGUCCGGGACCAGCCCCGCCGAAAGCAGAGGUCUAGAGAUGGUUAAAGUCCCGAAAGCAGGCAGGGGAGUUCCACGGUCUCAUUCAAGAGCUUCGACUGUUUGGAGAGGAAUUCCGACAUUACUUUCGUCUGGACCGAAGCCAGUUCGAUCACCUGCUCCAGAUGGUUGGAGCCAAGAUCGCCCGGGAGUCCAUCAGCCCAGUUGAACUCCUGACGAUUUGUCUCCGAUUCUUGUCGACAGGGGACUCCUACAGUACCAGUGGAUUCAGCUUCCGAGUUGGAUGGUCCACAGUGGCAGGCAUUGUCCCCUCUGUGGCACAAGCCAUUUGGGACUGUCUGGUUGGUGAAUACAUGCCUGUCCCCAAGGAGGAAGACUGGAGGGCCAUCGCUGCUGAGUUCCUGGAGAGGUGGAAUUUCCCCAACUGUCUUGGCUCCAUUGACGGGAAACAUGUAGUAAUCCAGGCUCCACCGUGCUCGGGUUCGCAAUCUACUAUUUCCGUGUUGUUGAUGUUGGUGCUUACGGCAAGGGAAGUGAUGGCGGGACCCUCCGGGACUCUGCCUUCGGUCAGGCACUUCAGGAUCGCACCCUGGAGAUUCUACCACCCGCAUCACUCCCUGGGGCUGAAGACCUGGGACCUGUUCCCCACGUCUUCGUCGAUGACGAGGCCUUCCCUUUGAGACCCAACCUCAUGAGGCCCUACACUGGACGCCAACUGCCAUUGCCAAAGCCUGUAAGGAUCUUUAACAAACGACUGUCCGGGGCAAGGUUAGUUGUUGAAUGCGCCUUUGGGAUUCUGGCAGCCCGGUGGAGAAUGUAUUGGAGAGUGCUUGGUCUCAGCCUCUCAAAUGUCAAUGCCUGCGUGAAGGCCACAUGUGUUGUCUACAACUACCUGCGGAGGUCAUUUCAGGAGCCGUUUGGGAUGGAGAUGGGAACGCCAAAUGGUCACCUACCUGAUGUCUAACAACGCCCCUAGACAGGAACUCCAGUACAGGAAACAUCCACAAGUGUUGUCGCCACCGGUCCAUCAAGACCCUCAACGUCACCUACAAGUGCGACCAUCGCCUCCACCGGUGCAGCGAGACCCUCUACAACGUCUACAUCAUCCACAAGUAUGACCACCACCGGUGCAGCCAUGGAAGAUGAUGAAAUGGAGGAAGCACCUCUGGAUCUAGGACCACCUGAGAUUAUUAUGAACCUCACGGAAGUGACCACUGAGGACCUUGUUGAACAGGAUGUGGCCGUGGAGAGAAACAGAGAGAGAAACGAAGAGGAACAACGUCACACCAGGCGUCAUCGGAGGUAUUAGCCCCCCAGAUCCACUCAACUCAUUUCAGCAGAGGCUCCUCCAAGCCGUCGAGAGGGAUGCAGCCCAACCUGAUGCUCACAGGAAGGAGGAUGAAGAGACCCUCUUUGCCAUGAGCCUGGUGCCAACACUGAAGAGGCUGCCUCAGCAAAGAAAAGCAGCAGUCAAGGAUCAAAUGUAUCAGCUGCUUUUCGAAGCCGAGUUCAAUGAAAUGGAGUCAAUUUAGCCGACCAGCUCACAGGAAGGACAGGAAGAAGAGAUGAGUUGUCUGGUUGUUGUCUUGACCUCCCUCAUUGUACCUUUCUUUUCACACAUGUCAGUUCCAUUUAAAUUCAGUCAAUUCAUAAAGUAAUUUGUUUAUAAAGUCUUAGGAUAACAUCCAUUAUUAGUGUUACAUAGAUUUCUGAAUUGACAGAAUUGAAACGCAUACACCGGAGAAUUCACAGAUGCUCUUGUUGGUCUCUUACAAGACUAAUGGUGAAUAUAUUUCUUUAAUUUAAAACCACUUGAAAACCAGGAUGUUGAACCUGUAUGUGAAGUUAUGUUCCAUCGACUGGUCCAUGACGUCCAGGGGCCAUUUGUUUGUUUAGCUGUGUUAUGGUUACACAUUAUUUUUAUUUUUUUCAGAGACGGAGACACACACACACCUCUCCUCCACUCCUCUCUGUACCUCAGAUCUCCAGUGCCCUGCCCUCUCUCUCUUUAUGGCCAUGUCUGAAGUUCCCCGACUAUGUCUAGGCUUAAUGAGUUGUCCCUGUAUCGGUCUGCAGUUGUGCUCUUGUUGUUCUCUUACAAAUUACAGGCUACACAUUCAUUUUUUUAAUUGUUUUUUUUACACGCACAUACACCUCUUUCAAUAGUUACAUUUAAAAAAAAAACCUGUCAUGUUCUUUCCUGUACUUGAAUACUUAUUAAAUUAUGUUUCCAAAGUCA